rnacentral:rRNA from 1 species
UUGUCUCAAAGAUUAAGCCAUGCAUGUCUCAGUACAAGCCGAAUUAAGGUGAAACCGCGAAAGGCUCAUUAAAUCAGUUAUGGUUCCUUAGAUCGUACCCACAUUUACUUGGAUAACUGUGGUAAUUCUAGAGCUAAUACAUGCAAACAGAGCUCCGACCGGAGACGGAAGGAGCGCUUUUAUUAGAUCAAAACCAAUCGGUGGCGAUUUCCGUCGUCAUCGUACAACUUGGUGACUCUGAAUAACUUUACGCUGAUCGCACGGUCUCGCACCGGCGACGCAUCUUUCAAAUGUCUGCCUUAUCAACUGUCGAUGGUAGGUUCUGCGCCUACCAUGGUUGUAACGGGUAACGGGGAAUCAGGGUUCGAUUCCGGAGAGGGAGCCUGAGAAACGGCUACCACAUCCAAGGAAGGCAGCAGGCGCGCAAAUUACCCACUCCCGGCACGGGGAGGUAGUGACGAAAAAUAACGAUACGGGACUCAUCCGAGGCCCCGUAAUCGGAAUGAGUACACUCUAAACCCUUUAACGAGGAUCAAUUGGAGGG